rnacentral:rRNA from 1 species
GAUGAACGCUGGCGGCGUGCCUAAUACAUGCAAGUCGAGCGAACAGAUGAGGAGCUUGCUCCUCUGACGUUAGCGGCGGACGGGUGAGUAACACGUGGAUAACCUACCUAUAAGACUGGGAUAAAUUCGGGAAACCGGAGCUAAUACCGGAUAAUAUAUUGAACCGCAUGGUUCAAUAGUGAAAGACGGUUUUGCUGUCACUUAUAGAUGGAUCCGCGCCGCAUUAGCUAGUUGGUAAGGUAACGGCUUACCAAGGCAACGAUGCGUAGCCGACCUGAGAGGGGGAUCGGCCACACUGGAACUGAGACACGGUCCAGACUCCUACGGGAGGCAGCAGUAGGGAAUCUUCCGCAAUGGGCGAAAGCCUGACGGAGCAACGCCGCGUGAGUGAUGAAGGUCUUCGGAUCGUAAAACUCUGUUAUUAGGGAAGAACAAAUGUGUAAGUAACUAUGCACGUCUUGACGGUACCUAAUCAGAAAGCCACGGCUAACUACGUG